UACGUAGGGGGCAAGCGUUGUCCGGAAUUAUUGGGCGUAAAGAGCGUGUAGGCGGCUCGGUAAGUCUGCUGUGAAAGUCCAAGGCUCAACCUUGGAAUGCCGGUGGAUACUGUCGAGCUCGAGUCCGGAAGAGGCGAGUGGAAUUCCUGGUGUAGCGGUGAAAUGCGCAGAUAUCAGGAGGAACACCGAUGGCGAAGGCAGGUCUCUGGGCCACUACUGACGCUGAGAAGCGAAAGCAUGGGGAGCGAACAGG
rnacentral:rRNA from 1 species